GGAUCCUCCAAAUCAAAGAUCAAUAAGUCAUUCUCCUGUAAGCCGCGGUCUAUGACGAAGUCAAACCAUUCACACCCAAAUUUUUCUCAGCAUUCCUCCUGUCAGCAGUCCUAACCUUGAAAUUAUAUGUCUUAUGUGUCUCCACAUCUUCCAAAGUCAUCCUUAGAUAUUUCCUCUUCAAGACCCUUUUGGAUAUUUGAUUAGGAAAAUGCUACAUAAAAUCAAAAAUCAAA
rnacentral:lncRNA from 1 species